rnacentral:rRNA from 1 species
AGUAACACAUGGAUAACCUACCUAUAAGACUGGGAUAACUUCGGGAAACCGGAGCUAAUACCGGAUAAUAUUUUGAACCGCAUGGUUCAAAAGUGAAAGACGGUCUUGCUGUCACUUAUAGAUGGAUCCGCGCUGCAUUAGCUAGUUGGUAAGGUAACGGCUUACCAAGGCAACGAUGCAUAGCCGACCUGAGAGGGUGAUCGGCCACACUGGAACUGAGACACGGUCCAG